rnacentral:tRNA from 1 species
GCCUUCCUAGCUCAGCUGGUAGUAGCUACCGCUUCGUAAGCGGUCGGUCGUCGGUUCGAAUCCGACGGAAGGCU